CUGAAACCUCAGAAUCUCCUCUCUGAAUACCCCUGCCUAGUUCUCUCCCCUUCAUCCUCUCUUCCUACAUUGUCAGAGUGAAAAAGCUCUUUGUGAAAAGGAAGAGAAAAAACAUCUUAUUUUCUUUUUUAAAAAUUUUAGACCAUGAAGAAAAUAUUUUUAAAGAAAUUCACCCAGGACAUUAAAGUUCACUAUAUUACAUAUUUAUCAUGUGUGAGAAUGUAAGUAUAUAACUGCAGCUAGUAGCCCCUCCCUCCUUCCGUUCCUCAUUUCUUAGGCUGUGUGAGUAGGUUUGCUCGGUGCCAGUCCUGUGCCCUUUGCUCUCCUGUCAUCAGUAGUUGUGAUCAGAAAAAGAUAUCUGCACUGCACUGUCUCCUUUCACUAUGUUGUGUGUUCGAUUACAGUAGCUCUGUUUCAUGAAAUAAACUGUGAAAUGGGGGGUGGGGGGUGCAGGCUAUGUAAAAAUUUUAAGUGGAGAAGUUUAACCUUCACAUGGCUUCUCUACACUAGGUUGAGUAACUGAUUGGCUUGACUGCUGUCUAGAAGUGACUCCCAGGACAUGAGGGAGCGAGGUGGGGGCACAGUUGGCCACUUGUCUUUUGUUUUGAGAUUUCCAUUCACCACCAUUUGUUGGAGCCUUCCCUUCCAGACCUGCUGGGAGAACGUCUUCUGAGCUGAGUGCUGGGUGUGGAGUAGAGGGAGUGGGGGUGUAGGUGAACAACAGUGGACCUCAUUCAGAGCAUCAGAGCACAGUGCUAGAACUGGGCAUUGGUUUCUGGGCCUCAGUACCACGCGUGCUGGGAUGGAGAACCCUGCAGUUCCCCUGGACUGCUUUGGCUCCUGUAAUAGCCCUUCCUUCAAGGGUGCGAAUUGGCAGCAGAGAAAUGGGUGGUAUUUUGGCAUUAGCAUUUAGCUUACAUUUUGGGUGGCCAGAGAGUCUGCCAGUGAGACAGCUCCCAGGAAGUAGUGUCCAGGGACAAGCCAAAGGCAGAGAUGUUCAUAGGUAGUAACUAAUCCAUCUCUUGUGUAGUUGUAGGGCAGACAAUAUAAGGGAAUCGUUCCAAUUUGCAUUCACAUCUCAAUUUUCCUCCCUGCCAGAGCCGACCACUUCAAUAGGUGGUAGCCAUUAUUUACCACCCCAAAGUAUUUUAGAUAUCUGCGUCCCUAAAAUUACUGUCACUGCGUCAGGCCUUGUUUGUUUGUUUUUUUUAAACCAAUUCUGCCUCUUUGGUACUUAUGCUCUACCCCACACUACAGUCUGGGCUUGAAGUACAGCACUGAGCCUUUGUGGCUCUGCACUUCGAGUUCACUGACGCUGGAAUUAAAAGGUGUUUCCCAGUAUUGUUCCAGAACUAACAGGAAGAAUGCCUAGGUUGUCCAUCCAGGGCAAUCAGGGGAGCCUUCACUUUGAUGCACACACCCACCUCUCUGAGUUGAGAUAUUGUCCUCCUUUUGGGGUUUGCCAUUGGAUGAGAAGAGGCCCAAUGUUCUCACCUUCUAGACCACAGGACAGGAGUGGCAGCAGGAAUUUACUGCUGUUAAAAUUGAACUAUUCAUGUUAAUUAUCCCAAGUCAUUUAGACCUAGGUAGCUACUGUAGGAGCUUUGAUUGGCUGUGACCAGUUCACUCUCAGUUGAGCUUCCUAGGUCAGUACAGAAGUUGCUAUAGUGUAAAUUGAAAUAAAAAUAAUUGCUUUGUACACAAAACAAUGUAAUGAUGGUGCUAAUCUCAUGGUAUAAGUAAGCACUGCCAAGGGUUGAGGGAGUUGUGACUUGAGAAACCCAGGCUCCUGCUUGGGAAGAGAAUGCAUAUAGGUUCCUUUCAGCUCUGAGAGGAGGGAAGCAGGCAGUGUCAGUCAUGCCUGCCAGCCCUACCCUAGAGUGUUUCAGUACAAUCCAGAGGAGGAAGAGAUCCUGUGUCAAGAUGAUGGCCACUGAGUUGCUUAGGGCUAGUAUCACCUUGACCAUAGCCUUUGUCCAUCCUGCCCAGGAAAGGUCAGAAAAGAACUAUAGAUGUGGAGUAGCCAUUACCUUCUGCUUCUCUACCUCUUCCCCUCUUGCGGCAGCGUCUCAAUUGCUUGUGAAGAAUAAGGGCAGUGUUUAAGGACAUUGGAAGAGCUUAUUUUAACUAGACAACUACAACCUCAAAAGAGAUGUUUCCUGAUCAGUAGAAGCAAAACACAUUAAACUCUUGUGGUUCUUCCCAUAUAGCAGCCUUCCUGUGACGUUAGAACAUCAGUCUAUGAGAGACCCCAGUUUUUUCUGGGAGCUUAGUGCAGCUUGACAGAGGCAGACAGGGAGCAGAGCAGAAACUGAGGUGUUGGUGUUGUUUCUAGGGUGGGCAGAGCAGGCGGUCUCCAGGUUGUGGUGCUGCCGUCUUGUAUGUAUGUAGGUGAGUGUGGAUGUUGGGUGAGUACAGCAUCUAGGAGCUCGUGGAAAAGCAGCUUUCUAGGUCUUGGCAAAGAAAACGGACUAGAAAGCUAUAUUUUUUAAGCGGGGAAAGGGGUUCAACGAAGGUCCAUCACUGUGUUCUCUCACCCCCCAACCAAUUGUCAGCUGGAAGUGAACCUAGUGAAAAAGAGGGGAAUCCUGUGCUAGGAGUCCCCAUAAACAUGUACUGUAAUUCUUUGUAUAUAGAAAAAAAUUACUGUAAAGUAAAGUUUAACUUUACUCUUAUGGCCCUUGCCCUGUGUUUUUAUUGUCUCUGGGGAAAUGUAGCUUAACAAGACAGAGGGUUGACUGGUUUGGGGUAAGAGCAGGAGCC
ensembl:lncRNA